rnacentral:snRNA from 1 species
AUACCUACCUGGCAGAGAAAGCAUUGUGACCAGUAAGAUGGUUUUUGUUGGGUAAGGCUUAUCUGUUAUACUCUGUGUGUAUUGGUCUUUUAUAGUUUCCUCAAACUGGGAGAAGCCUGACUGUGUAAUUUGUGGUAGGGGAGAGAUGUUUGUAUGUUUAUGCU